GAUGAACGCUGGCGGCGUGCCUAAUACAUGCAAGUCGAGCGAACGGACGAGAAGCUUGCUCCUCUGAUGUUAUCGGCGGACGGGUGAGUAACAUGUGGAUAACCUACCUAUAAGACUGGGAUAAUUUCGGGAAACCGGAGCUAAUACCGGAUAAUAUUUUGAACUGCAUGGUUCAAAAGUGAAAGACGGUCUUGCUGUCACUUAUAGACGGAUCCGCGCUGCAUUAGCUAGUUGGUAAGGUAACGGCUUACCAAGGCAACGAUGCAUAGCCGACCUGAGAGGGUGAUCGGCCACACUGGAACUGAGACACGGUCCAGACUCCUACAGGAGGCCGCAGUAGGGAAUCUUACGCAAUGGGCGAAAGCCUGACAGAGCAACGCCGCGUGAGUGAUGAAGGUCUUCGGAUCGUAGAACUCUGUUAUUAGGGAAGAACAUAUGUGUAAGUAACUGUGCACAUCUUGACGGUACCUAAUCAGAAAGCCACGGCUAACUACGUG
rnacentral:rRNA from 1 species